AACUUGGAUUCCACCUCUUAGUGGGAAGAUCUGAAGUCACAUUCCAGUGGCAUGGAUGUGAAAAGAUGAAGAAUUUGCAGUAAUUUUAAAAUCUACCACAUGACUGGGGGCAUAAAUCGAAUACUCCAUCUACAUAGCCAAGCUCUAUAGGAGAACACAGCCUGUAAAUCCAGAAGACCUGAGUUCAUGUCUUUUUCUACUGGUUGUUAUUUAAACAUUCUAACUUGCGAGAGCCUCAGGGACUCACCAGCUCAGCCCCCAAAUCUUCAGAGGUUCACAGACUUCUGUCUGGGGCAUCUCCUACUCGGAGGCGGGUAAGAAUAGAUAUAUAUAGGGAGGCAGUGUGCAAGAGAGGACUCAGAGCCCCUCCAAUCCCACACAAUACAGCAGGAACUGCAGAAACAAGAGCAAAGCUGUGGGACCAGCAAAAUGCCAGACGCCCCACGCUAGUUCCUAGCGUUUCAGCGGCGGUUCGCUGGACAGCGACAGGAUGAC